UACAUGGGGUGCAAGCGUUGCUCGGAAUCAUUGGGCGUAAAGCGCACGUAGGCGGUUUGUUAUGUCGGAUGUGAAAGCCCUUGGCUUAACCGAGGAAGUGCAUCCGAAACUGGCGAGCUAGAGUACGAAAGAGGAUCGCGGAAUUCCCGGUGUAGAGGUGAAAUUCGUAGAUAUCGGGAGGAACACCGGUGGCGAAGGCGGCGAUCUGGGUCGAUACUGACGCUGAGGUGCGAAAGCGUGGGGAGCAAACAGG
rnacentral:rRNA from 1 species